rnacentral:lncRNA from 1 species
AUUUAGUAUUUGAAACUAGAUUGAAUAGAAUAAAAUAAUGGGAAGAAACAUGUGUUAAAUAUAAAAAUAUUUAAACACUAUUUUUUAGUAGCUUAGGUUUUUAGAAAAUAACAGUUGUUUUGUUUUAUUUAAUAUGGUAACAGAGCAGUAGAUUCUGAGUUCGAGUCACAGCAAGCAUCUAGCAUUAUUAAUUUUUUCCUAUUUAAUUCAUGUCUACGUCAUAGGCCUACUAAAAAGUUUAGAGCUCAUGCGCGAAAAAGAGUGUUAAUUAUAAAAAUAUUUAAAUAUUAAUUUUUACUAAUUUAAGUUUUUAAAAAAUAAUGAUUGUUUCGUAUUAUUUAACAAUAGGUUUAUCUAAGUGCUAAUAAAAAGCAAAAUUAUUACUUGACAAAAUGACAAGGGAGAAAUUAUUACUUGCACCAGUUUUAUUUGUCUACUCCAUCAAUUUUAUCUUUUUAUUAUCGAUUCCACUAAUUUUUUUGUUAAAUCAAUAAUAAAGUUAAAACUAAAGAAUAGUAAAGUGAAUAUUUGAUAAAUCUAAAUGGGGUAUGUGAAGUUUUUUAUAUAUAAUUUAACGAAAUAUUAACGAAAAAACUGACGAAAAGAUAAAAAUGAAAUCACAGGAUACUAACUUGAUACAUUUUAAACCGCAAGAUAUUAAAGUUAGAUAGUGCGAAACCACAUGGGUGGUAUUUGAAGUUUACCCUAUUUUUUAUGAU